rnacentral:rRNA from 1 species
AUUGAACGCUGGCGGCAUGCUUUACACAUGCAAGUCGAACGGUAACAGGGUGCUUGCACCGCUGACGAGUGGCGAACGGGUGAGUAAUGCGUCGGAACGUGCCGAGUAGUGGGGGAUAACGCAUCGAAAGGUGUGCUAAUACCGCAUACGUACUGAGGUAGAAAGUGGGGGACCUUCGGGCCUCACGCUAUUCGAGCGGCCGACGUCUGAUUAGCUAGUUGGUGAGGUAAAGGCUCACCUAGGCGACGAUCAGUAGCGGGUCUGAGAGGAUGAUCCGCCACACUGGGACUGAGACACGGCCCAGACUCCUACGGGAGGCAGCAGUGGGGAAUUUUGGACAAUGGGCGCAAGCCUGAUCCAGCCAUGCCGCGUGUCUGAAGAAGGCCUUCGGGUUGUAAAGGACUUUUGUCCGGGAGCAAAUGCCUGGUGUUAAUAGCACUGGGAGCUGAGAGUACCGGAAGAAUAAGCACCGGCUAACUACGUGCCAGCCGCCGCCUAAUAC